CCUACGGGAGGCUGCAGUAGGGAAUAUUGCUCAAUGGGGGAAACCCUGAAGCAGCAACGCCGCGUGGAGGAUGACGGUUUUCGGAUUGUAAACUCCUUUUGUUAGGGAAGAUAAUGACGGUAUCUAAAGUAUAAGCACCGGCUAACUCCGGGCCAGAAGCCGCGGUAAUACGGAGGGUGCAAGCGUUACUCGGAAUCACUGGGCGUAAAGGGAGCGUAGGCGGGAUAGCAAGUCAGAUGUGAAAUCCUAUGGCUUAACCAUAGAACUGCAUUUGAAACUGUUAUUCUAGAGUAUGCGAGAGGUAGGUGGAAUUCGUGGUGUAGGGGUAAAAUCCGUAGAGAUCAAGAGGAAUACUCAUUGCGAAGGCGACCUGCGAGAACAUAACUGACGCUGAUGCGCGAAGGCGUGGGGAGCAAACAGGAUUAGAUACCCUUGUAGUC
rnacentral:rRNA from 1 species